rnacentral:lncRNA from 1 species
GCUCCAGAUUCCUCAGGAUAUGAAUUCCCAGAAGUAACAUUUGGAAUCUCCCCGAGAAGUUUCUCAAACUCAUCAUUUUCCAGUUCAUUUACUCCAUUCUCCAUUUCCGUAACAAUAGGCAGCAUCAAGAUUACUCUUCACUAGUCACUAAGUGAGCAAUGUUCAUCGACCUCAGGAGACUGUUUCUUCUGUACGACAAAAAAGAGAACAGAAAUUGAGUCAAAGUACAUCUGAACAAUAGGCAGCAUCAAGAUUACUCUUCAACAGUCACUAAGUGAGCAACGUUCAUCGACCUCAGGAGACUGUCAGUGUUUCUUCUGUACGACAACAAAGAGAACAGAAAAUGAGUCAAAGUACAUAGUCAGUACAAAUAUUAUAUA